GCGCCCGUAGCUCAGCUGGAUAGAGCAACGGACUUCUAAUCCGUAGGUCGCUGGUUCGAAUCCAGCCGGGCGCACCA
rnacentral:tRNA from 1 species